rnacentral:rRNA from 1 species
UACAGAGGUCUCAAGCGUUGUUCGGAUUCAUUGGGCGUAAAGGGUGCGUAGGCGGCGCGGUAAGUCGGGUGUGAAAUCUCGGGGCUUAACUCCGAAACUGCAUUCGAUACUGCCGUGCUUGAGGACUGGAGAGGAGACUGGAAUUUACGGUGUAGCGGUGAAAUGCGUAGAUAUCGUAAGGGAAGACCAGUGGCGAAGGCGGGUCUCUGGACAGUUCCUGACGCUGAGGCACGAAGGUCAGGGGGAGCAAAACGGG